rnacentral:rRNA from 1 species
AGUGAACGCUGGCGGUAGGCCUAACACAUGCAAGUCGAACGGCAGCACAGUAAGAGCUUGCUCUUACGGGUGGCGAGUGGCGGACGGGCGAGGAAUACAUCGGAAUCUACUUUUUCGUGGGGGAUAACGUAGGGAAACUUACGCUAAUACCGCAUACGACCUACGGGUGAAAGCAGGGGAUCUUCGGACCUUGCGCGAUUGAAUGAGCCGAUGUCGGAUUAGCUAGUUGGCGGGGUAAAGGCCCGCCAAGGCGACGAUCCGUAGCUGGCCUGAGAGGAUGAUCAGCCACACUGGAACUGAGACACGGUCCAGACUCCUACGGGAGGCAGCAGUGGGGAAUAUUGGACAAUGGGCGCAAGCCUGAUCCAGCCAUACCGCGUGGGUGAAGAAGGCCUUCGGGUUGUAAAGCCCUUUUGUUGGGAAAGAAAAGCAGCAGGUUAAUACCCCGCUGUUCUGACGGUACCCAAAGAAUAAGCACCGGCUAACUUCGU